UCUUCAUCAUGAGCAAACGACGUCGCCUCAUAUUUUUAUUCUUAUUGCUGUGGGUAUCAGGUCUAACUGAUGGGGGGGAAGUCAAGCAGACCUCCAUACUCUGGAAAAACCAGGGUGAUAAUGUAUCUAUAGAAUGCAGUCAUACCUAUGGCAGUAGCUAUUUCUAUAUGUACUGGUACAGACAGCUGCCUGGAGAACUAAUGAAACAAAUGGUGUUUACUACUGAAAACUCCCAACCCGACUUUGAACCAGACUUCAGGGAUGACAAAUUCUCAGCCACCAAGACUGACGCUCACAGUGGGACACUGAUAGUGAAUAAUUUGGUGCCAGGAGAUCAAGGCUUGUAUUUCUGUGCUGCUAGUAUGCACAGUGAUACAGCCACACUCAACACUCGUACAAAAACCUCAGAUCAUGAACUGUAGGGGGAUGUCAAGAACCACAAAUACUCACAACUGAACGUUGAUUCAUCAUACCAAUUCAACUCAAACUUCUUAAUGUUUUGAAACAAUUUAUUUCAACUUACAGUUAUUUUGUUCCAGG
ensembl:lncRNA